rnacentral:siRNA from 1 species
CGAUCCGAUGAUCCUUCCAAGUA